rnacentral:tRNA from 1 species
GUUCCUGUAGUUGAAUACAACGGUGGUUUUUCAAGCCAUUAGUCCUGGUUAGAAUCCUGGCAGGAAUU